GCUGGGAUCCUGUGUUGCUGUGGCUGUGGUGUAGGCCAGCAGCUAAAGCUCCAAUUUGACCCCUAGUCUGGGAACCUUUAUAGGCCAUGGACGGUGUGGCCCUAGAAACAAAACAAAACAAAAACAAAAAUGGUGUCUCUAGAUCUCAGGAAAUCACCAUGCAUAUUUAAAUGUAAAAUAAAAGGUUACACAUAAAUAUUACUGAAAAAACAAAUCAUAUGUUGAAGAAUCACACUAUGAAGAAAGUUCUUCCUGAAUACAGAGUAGGUAGGAGAAACAAAUAAGUGAACUAAAAAGGAGAAAGAGAGAUGAUUGUUAAAGUAUCUCUAUGAACAGAGCAAUGAAGUGCAAAACCCAAUAAGAUGUUAAGGAGUCGUGUGUUUGCAAGGGAGGGGAGGAUAUACGACUGCUUUUCUGAAGAAGGAAUUUGUACAGGUUCGUCACAUUUGUAUUAUUAUUCACAUUCUAAUAAGUGGAAACUUUGUUUUCAGAUUGUCCCGCUUGGGAUUCUACUAGUUUGACCUGCAAUAACGAGACUUGUCCAAGAGCCGGGCACUUGAAAAUUGAUGAUAACUAUCCCGUUGUGUCACAAUCAGUGACCAAAAAUCAGUCAUCAUCCAGAGAAGUUGGACAGAUGACCUUAAUAUAUAAAGAGAAAGUUCAUAUUGGAGCAAAAAAUAAGAAGUAUAUGCUCCAGGACCUGUGUGAAUCACAGCUGCCAGAAAACCAAGAAAGCAGAAAAGAUUCUCCUGAAAAAUAUCCUCAUUUGAAGUCUACUGUUGUGGUGAAAAUGUCUGUUCAUCAUAAAACAGUUGGCACGAAGGCUUUGCAAAUGUCCAGAGCAGGUAAAUUUUGCAAUAUAACUUUAACUCUGAAAAGGACGCUAAAAUAUUUGGAAUGCUCACAGUCUUCUUACUCCCUUUUGUUUUCUUAGCAAAUUUAGUUGAAGGAUUUGACAUACUAAGGUAGAUGUUAUUGUUGGUAUAGGUGCUUUGAAAGGUAUGAAUAUGCUAAAGAGAUUUUAUAAUUUAUUUAGUUAGUUUCUGAUUGAUGUUAUUAAAAGGAGACCAACAACAGGAUGCACUUUAGUAUACUUUUGGUUGAGGUGACUUGCUUUUUUAUAUAUUUUUGUUUAUCGUGGUCCUUUUACAGUGAUCUCUCAAAUCAUGCUGUACCACAAGUGACCCAGCCACACACACACACACACACACAUUCUUCAUCUCAGAUUUUCUUCUAACAUCGUCUGUCAAAAUUGAUUGGAUAUAGUCCUUGUGCUAUGCAGGAAGACCCCACUGCAUAUCCAUUCUAACUGUAAUAGUUUGCACCUACUAAUGCCAAAACGCCCAGUCAUACCACUGCCUCCUCCUCCCCCUUGGCAACCACAAGCCUGCUCUCCGUGUCUAUGAGUCUGCUUCUUUUCUGUAGAUGGAUGACCUGUGCCGUAGUUUAGAUUCCACAUGUAAGUGACAUCCUACGGUAUUUGCUUUUUCUGACUGACUUAGUGUGAGAAUCUCUAGUUGCAUCCAUGUGGCUGCAGAGGACAUUCAUUUCUUCUCUUUUAUGGCUGGGUAGUAUUAAUUGUAUACAUGUACCACGUCUUCUUCAUUCAUUCAUCUGCCAAUGGACAUUUAGAUUGUUUCCAAGUCUUGACUACUGUGGACAGUGCUACAUCGAGCAUAAGGGUGCAUGCAUAUUUUUGAAUGAAAGGUUUUUCCAACUAUGUACCCAGGAGUGG
ensembl:lncRNA